rnacentral:rRNA from 1 species
UACAGAGGGGGCAAGCGUUAUUCGGAAUUAUUGGGCGUAAAGGGCGCGUAGGCGGCCUGGCAAGUGGAAGGUGAAAUCCCUCGGCUUAACCGAGGAACUGCCCUCCAAACUGCUUGGCUUGAGUCCGGGAGAGGUGAGUGGAAUUCCCAGUGUAGCGGUGAAAUGCGUAGAUAUCGGGAGGAACACCUGUGGCGAAAGCGGCGCACUGGACCGAGAUUGACGCUGAACGGCGAAAGCUAGGGGAGCAAACGGG